AUUUGUCGGAAAAUUCGAAAUUCUAACGAUUCAGUAACCAGUUGCCAUGGCUUAAUGCUCAUCUUACAAAGAUCUGGCCUUUUGUUAACGAGAUCGAACAUGUUAUAGGUGUAUUUAAUCAAUAAUAUAUAAAAAGAUUUAAGAUCAUUAGACAUAUAGUCAAGACUCGGAAUGUUCGUCUACCAAAACAGUUAUGGAUCCUAAAACAACGCUCCAAACGUUUUUAAAGUUGAUUGAUGACUAUUAUCCUAUAUAAAAAUCUGACUCCGAUAAUUCCUCAAACAAAAGAG